AUACGGAGGGUGCAAGCGUUAAUCGGAAUUACUGGGCGUAAAGAGUACGUAGGUGGUUUGUUAAGUCAGAUGUGAAAGCCCAGGGCUCAACCUUGGAACUGCAUUUGAAACUGGCAAACUAGAGUAUGGUAGAGGGGGGUAGAAUUUCUAGUGUAGCGGUGAAAUGCGUAGAUAUUAGAAGGAAUACCAGUGGCGAAGGCGGCCCCCUGGACCAAUACUGACACUGAGGUACGAAAGCGUGGGUAGCGAACAGGAUUAGAAACCCUAGUAGUCC
rnacentral:rRNA from 1 species